CACUGAUCUGAUCUCUACUAGAGCCUAUUGAUUACUACUAAACAUAUUCCUAUUGGGUGGGUGAGAUGAGCUGGCUAAAAACACAGAGGGUCAGAGGAAAUCAAGGUUGGUGCUCAGGGAAAAUUCAGUAGCCAAGGGGAUGGGCAGAAGCACUACUGCCGGCCUCCAAAGCAGGCUCGGGACUUGGAGGCUCGGGCAAUGCUGCUACAGGAGACAUUCGGCUUCUUUACAGCCCACUGGGACCUGCAGCUUCCUGGCACAGGUUAGCUGCUCCACUUCAGCCAACAGCACUGGAGCAGGGCUAAGCAAGACAAGACCCUGCUGCGGAUGUUGUCCCCCACAGGGAAGGCUUGCGGAGCUGAGCAGGGAGCAGAAGCCGCAGAGCUGUCCCGCUUCCUCCUGGUUCACAGCCUUCCCUCGGAGAGCACCAGGGGAAGGCAGAAACGUGGCUGCUCAGGCCUCCGACUUGAAUUUGUAGUGAACUGCACUUACAGCUGCUUGCAAGGAGAAGCAAGCCUUUGCAGUGCUAUUUGGCCAAGUUUCUUACAGCUCGUUUUGCUGUCUCAUCCCGUCUCUCUCACCCUGGCUUGAAAGUUUCAACUCAUUCUGACAGAGCAGAAGCGACCCCCCCAGAACAAAAACCACCUCCCAAAGUCAAGAGAACAAAUGAGACAGAUAGAGGUGAGAUCCCACGUUCUUAAUGCCUCCACGAAGGGCAAGGUUUGGUCGAUACCAUCAAGCAGAAAAUCCACACAACUGAGCAAAGGAACGAAGACUUCAGUCACCAUCUUCUCUCACCAGCUAGACCCUAUCCAACCCCAACACGAGAGGCGACACCAGCUGAAAGCAGGAGAUCCCUGCUACCAGGCAGCGUGGAAGCACCGGCCUUUGUGACAGAGGAGCUGGGGCUGCUGGCUCUGUGCCGCAGCAGGGAGGAGGCCGGGAGGCCCGAGCCUCCAGGCAGAGGGCACCCAGAGCCCACAGCGAGCGGGGCUGAAAUGCUCUGGGGGAAGGCCGGGGAUGGCACCGGGGAGCCACGCUCUGUGCUACGCCCAAGGAAAAGCUGCAGUGUGGCGUGGGGCACCUGUGCCAGUGCUGUGCCACCACCACGUGGCGUUCCUACUCAAGCCUGGCAGUGUUUCAAAGCCAUACUAGGUCAAGGGCCACAAUCCAGGCACCAGCUGAUGACAAGAAGUUUGUUUCCCAGUAAAGAGACGACCAUAGAAACAACACUUCUCUCAUUUCGUGUUACUAUAGCAGUAAUAACCUGGCCAGCUAGGUCACACCCAAGGAAUCUUUUUCCUGUAACUGUUAGGUUCACCACAGAAAUGCAACUGAAAUUUGUGAUCAGCUUUGGCAAACUGAAGUCAAAUUGAACACCAAGUUUCAGCCAAAGCACCGCCUCGACCACCAGGAACAACCCCAAGAGACACAGCCAAGCACCUGGCGGUGCAUCGCCCCCGUCUGCAUGGCAGUAACCGCCCGGGGGGAUCCCUGGGUCCCAGUGCCCGUUCCCACAGAGGCUGACUUCUUCCCACCCGAGUGCAUUUAGUAACUGAGGAUGCACAAGGAACACAGCCUCCCACCUUCCUGUCCAACAAACUUUGGCUCUCGGCUUUUCUAGAAGGUAGAAGAGGAGGGUUUGGGUGUAUUCCAACACACGUCCCCCCGCACUUGGAUCUCUGCACCCUCACUGAACGCUGUUCAGUCCUGCAGUAGUUGGUAUCCACCCUUUCCAAAUGCUUCCUUUUAUUUCUGUCAUUUAUUCUACAUGUGUCCACAGUAAAACUCGUCAUUUGGAAACAAUGGGAGAUCUCCUUUAAAUGUAGAAAAUUCUCCAGCAUUAUAUCUGGCAAGUAAAAUACCAAAAAAUUAUAUGUUUAUUCCAGUCUAAAAUGAUUCCCCAUUUGCCAACACUGGGUACACAGCUGCAAAACUGAAAGGCCCUUCCCAGCCCUGAUCACGGCAUUUCCAAAAUCAUGGUGGAGUUGGGACCAAAACCAGAACUGCAUCCCAGAAUCAACCCAGUGAGCAACAAGGGCAGUAAUUGUUUUGUUUACUUUGGGAUAGUUCAGUAAUUUUGGGAACCUGCAAGCUUAGAUGCAAUAUCCUCUUCUCUCAUUUGGGGUCAUGCAUUUGUCAGAAAUGGUUAAUAUGAUACAAGGAGGUUGGAAAUCGGGCCGAAGCACACUUCAGCAAUGCUCAGGAGAGACUUUUCAGU
rnacentral:lncRNA from 1 species